rnacentral:lncRNA from 1 species
UGAAGAACAAAGCUGGAAGCUGUGCUGUCCAUCUCUGCUUGAAUUUGUCUGCCAUUGUUUGAAGAGUUUGUCCUUAAUUUCUGACAUCACCUACUUAGCAUUACUUCAUUCAUUCAUUGCAGCACUGACCAAAAAUAAUUUUGUUGCAGACUACUUUCCUUUCCUUGGCUGUUAAUCUUCACUCGUUUAGUUGAGGUGCACAGCUGUGCUCUACUGAUGACUUUGCCUUUACAGCCUGCAGCAUCAUGGGGCCACACAGAUGCUUCAGUUCCAGCUGCUGGUGGGAGAAGGUCCAAGAUCUUGCCUCUGGCUUGGAGUCUUUCAGAAUGAUCGCCUGCAGAAGAACAAGAAGGCAAAGGCCACCAAAACGGCUUUUUGGCAUGAUUUACUUGCUGCAAUGCCUGUGACAAUGUGCAUUAAUUUCACUGGGGGUGAACAGAAAUGCACAGAGGCUAUUGAAUGUUGGGUUGUCCCUAGGCAUGUCUGAAUUGAAUCCCGAAGGACAUGACCUGGCCUUGGUAUCCACAGAGUGUUGGAGGUUGAGGUUCCAGGAUAAACCUGGGGUCAGCUUUAAUUCCUCAAGGGAGACUGGACUAGGUUCCUCUGGGAAAACACCCAGGCAGAAUAUGGGCUCCCAGGUUAUAAGGAUCCUUCAUAAAAGACAGAAGUCUCUUGAAGAAACUUAACCCCCAACAUAACCAACCUUACUAUAAUUUUUUAACCAUAAAUGAUUUAAAGAGCAGCUAGUCCAUAAUCUUAGCUUUUAUUAAAAAUAAGUUGUUGCUUUGUCAUGAAGACAUUAAUAAAACAUUUUCUUUUGUAGCAUAUUUUAAGCAAGUUACUUACAGCUCUCUGCCACAGUCUAGCAGGCUUCAUUUUGUUUUCCUCAGAGCAAAGAUGGAAUUCAGAGGUGGAACAACAAACUAAUUCAUGAAGUUUUGUGACAAUGGCCUGACAGACCGAAAUUCUACAUUUCCAACUUUAUUUGCAGUCGCUGGUUAUUCUGGUCAUUUAAAGAGAUGCAAUCUGCUACUAGGACAGUAUAGGAGUAGCUGGUACCAAACGUGUGUGCAAAUCUAAAAAUGGACCUGAGAGCUCAAUAAAAAUUCUUGGCACGGCCCAGCUAUUUGGUUUGGCCUUUCUGUGCAGGUCUACUCCACUUCUUCCAACAGUGUUGUUGUAUCAUCAGAAUCCAAGUACAGUGGCAGUAAACCGCCUUGAGAGCAAAGUGGACUUGGGGCAAAGUCCCAGGAUGCUACAGCAAGGGUGUGGUGGGCACUGCCAGCUGAUGUAAACACACAGGCAUGGUGUGCUUGAUGAGCU